rnacentral:rRNA from 1 species
AGUUUGAUCAUGGACUCAGGAUUAACGCUGGCGGUAUGCCUAACACAUGCAAGUCGAACGGAAUACUAAUUUAAGAGAAUCUCACACUAGUGAGAGGUUCUCACGAGUAGUAUUUAGUGGCGGACGGGUGAGUAACACGUUGGAACCUGCCCCGAAGUGGGGAAUAACUGCUCGAAAGAGUAGCUAAUACCCCAUAGUAUCCGGUUUAUCCGGAUUAAAGAUUUAUCGCUUCGGGAGGGGCCUGCGUCUGAUUAGCUAGUUGGUGAGGUAAAAGCUCACCAAGGCGACGAUCAGUAGCUGGUUCGAGAGGAUGACCAGCCACACUGGGACUGAGAUACGGCCCAGACUCCUACGGGAGGCAGCAGUGAGGAAUCUUCCACAAUGGGCGCAAGCCUGAUGGAGCAAUACCGCGUGCAGGAAGACGCUUUUCGGAGUGUAAACUGCUUUUGUCGUCGAAGAUUAUGACUGUAGACGAAGAAUAAGGACCGGCUAACUACGUG